CCUUCAGCAUUGAAAAGAAGUGAAAAAGCAGAUACAGUAAAGUUUAAUGCUUCAGUGAAUACCCAAUUUUACGGUCUUUUUUAAAAAAAGGAAGUUGACAAACGAAACAACUACAUUUAUCAAAAGAUAAAUUUAUAUCUUUCCUAGAGUCAGCUUCAUCAACCUCAACACUUUUAUUUCUAUUUUAUAUAAUUUAUUUUCUUGGAAGCUCUUUAUUGCCUCGCAUCUUUCUCCUGUAAGUCACCGGACAUCUGCAUUAACAAUAUCUUAGGGCUGAAAAUGGGUCAGAUACUAAUUAGAUGCCCAUUUAAUAUAUGUAUCCCCAUUUUUAUUUGCUGAAAAAAUACCAAAAUAUGGAAACACCAAUAUCCAAUCCAUUUUCAGACCUAUCAUAUGCCAUACAAAAGGCUUCGAGCGUAGUGCCCUAGGUUGGAUUCCGUGACCUAAUGUGUAAGGCAAUUGCAUAAUAAGAAUCGUAUGGGCCCUCCACAUCCUAAGGGCUCGUUUGGUUCGCGAGAAAAGAAGGGGGAAAAGUGUGGUCAACGGAAAAGUAAUGAGAUGCCUCUUGUUUGGUUGGAGUUUUCAAAGGAGAGAGACGGGAAAGUUGUAUUUUCAUGGGAAUAUAAUUUCCACAUUUUAUGGAAAAGUCUUUUCUAUGAGAAACAUGGGAAAGUUACUUUUC